UACAUCUCAGGAUGGUGGGGUAACAGUUUCCCUGAUCCUCCAUGCAGCUGGAUUUUGAUGCUCAGGUUCCACUAUGUUGCUGUUUGGGUCCCCCAGCUAUUGUCUCGUCUGCAUAGACAGAGCAAGAAGCUCCCCUUCUCCUCUUCUUCUGAGAGAUCUUUGAUGAGAGUCUUUGGCUUCUGUGUACCCGAUCAUACAAGUGAGCCACAGGACAUCCUGCAAGAUUUCUCGUCUACUUCUAUUAUUUUGGGUUUAAAACCUGGGGACAGGAACAGUUGGACAUGUGAAGAGAUAUGGAAAAGACAUAGCAAGCCUCCGGCUCCAGUUCUUAUCAGUCCAUCUGUCUGUGUGAUGACAAUAAGCAAACAAUGAAUAUGCACCACCUGCCUCUGUAUAGUUUUUCUACUGCCAUCUGCUGGUAAGGAAAGUAGUCUCCUCUCACCAAGGUGCUGGUAGCUUGUUGGCUGUAGACGAUGAUGGGUGUGUGUGUGUGUGUGUGUGUGUGUUUUUCCCCCCAACACAUGCCAACUGAGGCAACAUGGCAGUUGGUUGACAUUCUUAGCCAUCUGUCAACAGUUGGAGCAGUGCAUCCUGGGCUUAACACUUCAGCUAGUUCCUGUUUAACACCUCUACACUGACCCUGUGUCAGAGCAGGACAGAGUGAAAACUGAGAGUCUGGACUGGGCGGAAAGUUACACACUGUCAAUGCAUGCUGAUCUUAAAUGGCUGGUUAGUUCACCACAUUUAUAAAUUAAACAUUCUGGAUUGGAUUCUUUGAAAUUUGGAUAUUAAAAGUGCAGUAGACAGUGAUCUUCAUCUGCAGGUUGUUACGAUUAUUAUUAUUAUGGCUCUAUGUACUGAGCUCCUCUCAUCAAAUAAGCACAGAUACCGUCACAUUGGUUUCAUACACUGCAGAUGGCCCAAUGCAAUCUCUUCAUGUAUGAAACUCUGAAUAUUAACAUGUAUUGCAUAUUGUCCCAAUUGUCCCAAGCAGUUGUUGCUGAUGCUGGAAUAAGAGCCAAAAGAGACAAGGAAGAAGUGCAACCAUGGAAUCCUGGUGAGAAAUUGGAACGCUAGACUGACGCAGAGCCUCAUUUAAGAUAGGUCCCCCCCCCCCCCAACCGUUCAAUUGGUCCAGAGUAAAAUGGUUAGGAACAGAAAAAUGUCAGUCCCUUGCAGUCAGUGUAAAUAUCCCAGGGAAGUCGAGGCAAUCGCCCUGCAGUCUACUCUCAGACGAAGCUUGAACAGCCACAAACUGGGCAGGAAAAUGAUGGAAGGCGUAAUGAAAACACAGCAUGUGACAACAUGACAGUUUCCAUAUGUCUCUGCUGGGGAAAUGAAAAUCUUGGAUAGGACCAGAAAAGGCUAAAAUCUCUUGACCUCGUGUUGCUGUGUGACUCAUCUGUCUUCUUACAGAAAUCUAAAAAGAAUUAAGAGAAGAAUGUUUAAGCUUAUUCAUUCAGGCCCCAGUAAAGGUAUUAUCUGCCAAGUUCUGUUGUCAUAAACUCCCCAAGCUCCAUUCAUGCAGUUAUUACCAAAAAAAGAUGAGCAUUUAAAAGGAACAGGCCAUGAUGUCCUGUGGCUCACAUGUAUGAUUCAUGGGAUUUUGUGCAGAUGGAGAAGCUGCAG